AAUGCCUACGGGACGCAGCAGUGGGGAAUAUUGCACAACGGGGGGAACCCUGAUGCAGCGACGCCGCGUGGGCGAUGGAGUAUUUCGGUAUGUAAAGCCCUAUCGGCAGGGAAGAAACUGACAGUACCUGACUAAGAAGCCCCGGCUAACUACGUGCCAGCAGCCGCGGUAAUACGUAGGGGGCAAGCGUUAUCCGGAUUCACUGGGCGUAAAGGGAGCGCAGGCGGCACGGCAAGCCUGGUGUGAAAACCCGGGGCCCAACCCCGGGAGUGCAUUGGGAACUGCACCGCGAGGGUGCCGGGGGG
rnacentral:rRNA from 1 species